UUCUUUGUAAUUUUCUAAGCAAUCUAUCUAAUUUUCAUUUCUCUUAUCUUUCUUUUGUUCUUCUUCCACUGUUUCUUCAUCUCUGAAAUUCCUUUUUAUUGUCCAAUCUGUUACAUUUACUUUAUACUGAUUUUUCUUUCUAAUUUAUUGUUCUUUGUUCUUUUUAUUACAUGUCUUUUUUGUAACUUGUGAUUCUGUUCCAAUUCCAUUUAAAUUGACUCCCAAAUUUCCUCAAAUUUGAAACUUCGGGUGUAUAUAGUGGAGUGUUAUUUUUUAAUUUCUUUCCCUCCAACCUUCAUUGUUUAUCUUUGCCGCGCCAACACAGACUUACUGAAUUCUUUAAUGGUCAUUCUAGGAUUUCAUGUGGCUUUUGUUAUUUUCUUUUAACUGAUUCAACACAUAUAUCUGCUCUAUUGACUAUUUAUUUUAUGUUAGACUGCGUAAAGAUCGAUGGGUAUUUAGAAGAACUCAUUUAGAUCACCUAAAGCCUGCGGAAUAAAAUGGAUCCACAAAAGGUCAGCAUCUAUUCUUACACGUUCAACAACUAUUUUAAAUUACCUUUCAUAACUUACUUUUGUUCUGUAUAAGAGUUGGAAGAAUGAGUUACUUUAAAUUUUCUUAAAACAGUAGUCUCGAGACAGUUUAUUCCGCCUUUGAACAUUUAACUGGGUCACCUGAAAAUACUAAACCAUUUGACGAUGAUGUGAAUGAUUGUAAACAUGGGAAUGGUUAAAUUAACCAGCUCAAUUGAAUUGAUAUUUCCUGGAUUUUAGUUCACAUGGUUUCUUGGUAAAAAUUAUGCUCUUGGUAAAAUGUUACAACUCUCGAAUGAUAUUAGACAUAGGUGGGUUCAAAAGUUCUAAAUUUGAUAUUACAACAUGCACACGAGAUAGAAAUUCUCUCAAGAAUUGUUGAUAGAGGUAUGAAUAGUUUACUAAAAGCUAGCGAGACAUACCUGACAAGAGCGACCUACGCUGAAUGUAAAUUCUUGCACCCUAGCCUUCACUGUUGGGUCUUUAGUAACCUUUGAACACCUUACCAGUCACAACGUUUAAGUAGGAAGAUGUUUGGCCAUAUAAAUUAUAUGUUGUCAACUUGUCAUUAACUUGUUGCUAGUUUUUGAGUUUUACAAUAGUAUGAUAUGCCAUUUCUAACUUAUCAAAAAUUUAUAUGUCAUUUCUAUUUGCUAGGUUCUUAGUUUCACUCACGAGAAUUACAUUUGCACUCAAUGUGAUGUUUGAAGGCAUUUAAGAAGCUAUUUCUUGGGGCAAUUGGGCAUGUGUUAUCAGUUUCCAUUUUUACUUAUUAAAUGUUGUGGAUUUUCUGAUGUUGUUUAAUACUUUUUGGCUUUGACAGAUAGAGAUGUGACAUUUUUCUUUCUUUGAGAAAUCCUCUUGAGAUUCCUUCAUUUUGGAGUAUUUGUACAACUUCUUGGUAGAUGCCUCACACUGGUAUUAUAGACAAAUUUUAAAACUUUAAUCUUUCUCAUAUUAAAGAGAGUUCUACAUGAAGGUUUUCAGGUUGUUCGCUUAUGAUCAACGAAGAAAUCUACUGAGGGUUAGAGGAAAAUAUGUCACCGACGAAGUGUGGUAUCCCCUGUGGUAAGAAUGUUGGAUGGUGAUGAAGCUUCCCUGCUCUUUCUCCCUAAGGAAGAAUAACAGCGUGAAGCUUCAUGAGCAAGGAGAGCUUCUGGAAGGACAUUUACAGGGCUGUGACACUUCCAAAAUGCCAGUGGAGAUUCAAGCCCAUUUUCAAGCAGUUUGGAAAGUCAGUUAACUUCCCAUUAGGGCACCUUUAUUCAAAAAGUUUGUCUUCUUUUUACCUAUUGCAUUGAUUUCUCACGUUUUCAGGAGACGAUCAAUGGCCACAAAGCAAUUUCUUUUUCAGGUGAUUGUUGUGUUGUAUGCAUAAAUAAAAUUGUGCCCCUUUAAUCUCAUUGUACUUUUCCUGUCCGGAUUUCCCUAAUAUGAGUCACAAGAUCAUUUACGCAGAUAAAUGAAGCUGAACAAGUUUAGUUAUUUUUGGAUCAGCUAUUCCCAGAAUCUGAAAAGUAUAUGAGCAGUUUUAUUGUCAUUUUUAUGUUAUUUUGUUUUGAUAUGUGGAACGUCUAUAUAUAAUAUGAAGACAUUAUUCAGUGUAAUCCAAGUCCUUUUCAGAGUUGUU